CCGCGGGAUUAGAGUUUGAUCCUGGCUCAGGAUGAACGCUAGCGGCAGGCCUAAUACAUGCAAGUCGAGGGGCAGCAGGAAUAGCAAUAUUCGCUGGCGACCGGCGCACGGGUGCGUAACACGUAUACAAUCUGCCUUUAACAGGGGGAUAGCCCGGAGAAAUCCGGAUUAAUACCCCAUAACACUUUAGUUAGCAUUAACAGAAGUUGAAAGCUCCGGCGGUUAAAGAUGAGUAUGCGUCUGAUUAGCUAGUUGGUGAGGUAACGGCUCACCAAGGCGACGAUCAGUAGGGGAUCUGAGAGGAUUAACCCCCACACGGAUACUGAGACACGGAUCCGACUCCUACGGGAGGCAGCAGUAAGGAAUAUUGGACAAUGCCCGCAAGGGUGAUCCAGCCAUGCCGCGUGCAGGAAGACGGCCCUAUGGGUUGUAAACUGCUUUUACACCGGAGAAAACCCCACUACGUGUAGUGGGCUGAUAGUAUGGUGAGAAUAAGCAUCGGCUAACUUCGUGCCAGCAGCCGCGGUAAGACGAAGGAUGCAAGCGUUAUCCGGAUUCAUUGGGUUUAAAGGGAGCGUAGGUGGCCUUAUAAGUCAGUGGUGAAAUCUCUGGGCUUAACCCAGAAAUUGCCAUUGAUACUGUAGGGCUUGAGUAUAGUUGCCGUUGGCGGAAUAUGACAUGUAGUGGUGAAAUACAUAGAGAUGUCAUAGAACACCGAUUGCGAAGGCAGCUGACGAAACUAUAACUGACACUGAGGCUCGAAAGUGCGGGGAUCAAACAGGAUUAGAUACCCUGGUAGUCCGCACUGUAAACGAUGAUUACUCGCUGCUAG
rnacentral:rRNA from 1 species